rnacentral:rRNA from 1 species
AUACAGGAAGAAACGUACCCUCGUGAGGGUGCCUGACGGUACUGUAGGAAUAAGCACCGGCUAACUCCGUGCCAGCAGCCGCGGUAAUACGGAGGGUGCGAGCGUUAUCCGGAUUUAUUGGGUUAAAGGUCCGUAGGCGGAUUAAUAAGUCAGUGGUGAAAUCCCAUCGCUUAACGAUGGAACUGCCAUUGAUACUGUUAGUCUUGAAUGAGGGUGCAGUGGUUGGAAUGUGUAGUGUAGCGGUGAAAAUGCAUAGAUAUUACACAGAACACCGAUUGCGAAGGCAGAUCACUAACCCUAAAUUGACGCUGAGGGACGAAAGCGUGGGGAGCGAACAGGAUUAGAUACCCUGGUAG